rnacentral:tRNA from 1 species
GCCUUCGUGGAGUAGUGGUUAGCACUCUCGGCGCGUAUUCGAGAGAUCCGUGGUUCGAAUCCCGGCAAGAGCA